UACGGGGGGGGCAAGCGUUGUUCGGAAUUACUGGGCGUAAAGCGCACGUAGGCGGAUUUGUAAGUCAGGGGUGAAAUCCCGGGGCUCAACCUCGGAACUGCCUUUGAUACUGCAAAUCUCGAGUCCGGAAGAGGUGAGUGGAAUUCCUAGUGUAGAGGUGAAAUUCGUAGAUAUUCGGAAGAACACCAGUGGCGAAGGCGGCUCACUGGUCCGGUACUGACGCUGAGGUGCGAAAGCGUGGGGAGCAAACAGG
rnacentral:rRNA from 1 species